UAAAGCUGCUGUCACUUGGACUAUUCCGUAGCACCCACCCGAGUAGUCGUCCUCGUCCCUGCACUGCACGUCGAUCCCAGUUACCGGUGAUGACAUGAAACACGAUUGUGUGUUGUCGCUCCCGUCACACCUACAUCAAUCCGUUCGUCACCUUUGUGGACCAGCGCAGGUGGAAGUGCAACCUGUGUUACCAGGUCAAUGAUGUACCAGGUGAGUUCAAGUGGAACCCAGUCACAAGGUCAUACGGUGAACCACACAAGAGGCCAGAGGUCCAGAAUUCCACCGUGGAGUUCAUCGCCUCCUCAGACUACAUGUGUCCAGAGAUCCAGGACAUCUACACCACACUGACCAGCAGCUUCGACACACGCCUGGGCAUACUGCCCCGCUACUGAGUUGUGGCGAUUGAGAGGACAUCCUGCAGGAGACGCAAA